GAGUAACGCGUGGGUAACCUACCCUGUACACACGGAUAACAUACCGAAAGGUAUGCUAAUACGGGAUAAUAUCUUUGAGAGGCAUCUCUUGAAUAUCAAAGGUGAGCCAGUACAGGAUGGACCCGCGUCUGAUUAGCUAGUUGGUAAGGUAACGGCUUACCAAGGCGACGAUCAGUAGCCGACCUGCGAGGGUGAUCGGCCACAUUGGAACUGAGACACGGUCCAAACUCCUACGGGAGGCAGCAGUGGGGAAUAUUGCACAAUGGGCGAAAGCCUGAUGCAGCAACGCCGCGUGAGUGAUGAAGGCCUUCGGGUCGUAAAACUCUGUCCUCAAGGAAGAUAAUGACGGUACUUGAGGAGGAAGCCCCGGCUAACUACGUGCCAGCAGCCGCGGUAAUACGUAGGGGGCUAGCGUUAUCCGGAUUUACUGGGCGUAA
rnacentral:rRNA from 1 species